rnacentral:miRNA from 1 species
GACGUCGAAUAUCGACAUCAUGAACACCAAAGUUGAUCGUGUUUAUGACGUCGAAUAUCGACGUCAUAAACACCAAAGUUGAUCGUGUUUAUGACGUCGAUUAUCGACGUCGAAUAUCGACGUCAUACACACCAAAGUUGAUCGUGUUUGUGACGUCGAAAAUCGACGUCAUUAAAACUAAAGUUAAUCGUUUUUAUGAUGUCGAAUAUCGACGUCAUCAACACCAAAGUUGAUCGUGUUUAUGAUGUCGAAUAUCGACUUC